rnacentral:lncRNA from 1 species
AAGAAAAUUAAAACGUCUGACAAAUGUACUCAAAAUAAACUUAAACAACAAGUAGAAAACUCUAGAACAAAAAAGAAAACACAUUAAAAAUUUUUAUAUCCCCGUCAUUUGAAAAUGACCUGUCCCCAACCUUCCAUUUUCCUACUUGACGAUUCAGAUUCAUUGGAGAUAGGGCCUGAGGGUAGAUGAAAACGUUUCUGAUGAAGGGCCUCUCUACACCCUCCUUCUCUUCGAUCCUACACUUCAUUUCAGUUUGGCUCUCUUGGUCUUUCCAGUUCCGAUUGGUAUUUGGCAUAACCAGGAACCUCACCAAGUAAGUAAAUUUCUUCCUUCUUUCUGAGACUUGUUGUAGCAAUGAUAUGGGCUAACUAGUUAGCCAAUCUCGAAACAAAGAGAAAAGUAAUCGCUUGAAAACUGUCUUUUUCGCUUUGGAUGUUUCUGAUAUAUGCACUGACCUGCGAUUUAUCUCUAGAUUGUGCCAUGCAUUUGUUGGUAAUUGUUUUGGAGUCCCCUUCGACAAUAAUGUCUGUCAAGCCCAUGUCUUUCCCGUAAGAACAGCUUCAUAGCAGGCAAUAGUUUCCGCUUCAAAGGCCGUAGCCACCAUAAAAUGGAGGUGGGAUGUAGCUAUUUUAAUUUCCCCUGUAUAAUUCCUUGCUACUAUCGCAGACGCCAACUGAUGAUUCUUAACGUCAAAAGAAGCAUCAAAAUUGAUUUUGACUGUUGAUUGUGCAGGUACCUUCCAUUUGACAUUUUGCUGGGCAGCACUGAGUUUUCUCUCAUUUAGUCCAUCGAUUUCGCCGAGGUAAUGCCUUACAUAUCUAGCUGCCUCUUUCCCUGUAUAAGACUUUCCCUCGUGUAAGUUCUUAUUUCUGUCCAACCAUAGCACCCAAAUACCACAGAUCACCAUUCGACGUUGUACUUCAGUACAUUUACUGAAAAUCCAAGUAAGCCAUUCGAUGCAUUCAUGUGAAUCAUUUUGCCUAAGCCAGUUGAAAUUUAAUUCCUUCUAUAACUCUUCUGACACAGAUACUCCACAAAGACAUGCCAUAGAUUUUCAGCUCCAGCUCUACAUCUUGGACAUAUAGCAUUUGGGGCCAUUCUUCUUUGGUACAGAUUAGCCAUCGUAGAAAUAAAACUCCACGACAUUUUUCAUGCCAAUAUCUUUAUUCUGUUUGGAAGUUGUAGUUCCCACAGUUGUUUGUAAAAUGGUUGGGUUGUAAUUUGUGUAUCAGUAGGACUAGUAGUAGAGAUUUGGCUCUGUAGUAUUUUGUAAGCACUACGCACUGUAAAUUCUCCCGAGUGCUCCCCACGCCAGAAGAUCAAAUUCGGAUGUGCUUCUCUCGCCAGUGGAAUUCGUAGGAUUCUAUCCGCAUCAUUAGUUUCGAAGGUAGUACGUAUCAAUUCUUCCCUCCACUUUCUAUUACUUUCAUUAAUUAAUGCCACAACCAUAGUUAUAUUAGCAUUAAAAAUACGGUGACGAACUCUAAAAUUAUCUGCCCCGGACAUCCAUGCAUCAUCAUUAAUUCUAAUAUUUUCGCCUGUGCCAACUCGCCACCCUAGUCCCUUCUUCAACAUACCUUUCGUUAAAUACUUUUCCACGUAUAAGAUGGAUGACGCCCGAGUUCUGCUUGUAGGAAAGUAGUAGUCGGAUAGUAUAUUGCUUUUAAUAUUUGUGCUACUAAAGAAUUUGGUUGGUCAAUUAACCGCCAGCCCUGUUUAGCAAGAAGAGCCACAUUAAACUUUGCCAUAUUCCGAAAACCGAGCCCACUUUUAUGUUUUAGUUCACAUAAUUUCUUUCAACUACACCAAUGAAUUCUUUUCUGACCAUGUCCUUUUUUCCACCAGUAUCUUACCAUAAUCGAUUCCAAUUCAUCACACAAAGAUCUUGGUAAGAGAAAGCACAUCAUCGAGUACGUCGGAAUUACUUGUAACACAGAUUUGAUAAAAAUUUCUUUCCCUCCCUGGGACAGAAUUCUAAAGCUCCAGCCAUCUAUUCACUUUUUAAUUCUGUCUUUUAAAUUCUGAAAGGAAUAUUUUUUUUUCUUUCCCACCAAAUUAGGAAGACCCAGGUACUUCUCAAAAUCAUUUGAUCUACGCACUCCUAGCAAUCUAGCAACCAUGAAUCUAUCAUCUUUUGAGGUGUUUGUACUAAAAAAUACCAUGGACUUUUCAAAAUUCACACUGCCCAGAACACUUCUCAUACUCUUUCAAGACGUCUUUAAUUUUACAAGCUCCUAAAGUCGUUGCCUCUCCAAAGAUGGUACAGUCAUCAACAAAAAGGAGGUGUGAAAUCUGUGGACCACGCCUACAUGCCUUUAGACCUUUAAUGUCCCCUUUCUUCAUAGCCGACUGCAUAAGUGAUGAGAGACCUUCACUACAUAUAAGAAAUAGGUAUCGACUAAGAGGGUUUCCCGGCUUUAGCCCUCUCAUUGGUCUAAAACAAUCUUUUUUUGUUCCAUUUAACAGGAUGGAGUAAGAAACCAUAGAGAUGCAUUUCAAAAUAAAAGAUACCCAAGAAUUUGCAAAACUCAUUCGCUCCAUCAUAACUUUCAGGAACUCCCAUUCAACCCUAUCAUAGGCUUUGCUCAUGUCUAAUUUGAGAGCCAUGUGUCCUUUCUUGCCUGUUCGUUUGUCCUUAAGUGUAUGCAAGAUCUCAUAAGCCACUAGCACAUUAUCAGUAAUGAAUCGACCUGGGAAAAAAGUACUCUGUGCUUUAUCAAUACAUACUCCUAUAACAUUUUGAAAUCUGUUGGCUACUACCUUAGCUAUUAUUUUAUAUAGGACAUUGCAAAGAAUUAUAAGCCUAAAGUUUUUCAUAUUUGUGGGCUGUGAAGUUUUGGGAAUCAAAACGAUUAACACUUUCAAUUUCCUUUCCCUUAUUUAGGUCGUUGCUUCAUUUCUUACUAUGUGCCAACAUUUUUGAAAGAAAAUUACUGGGAAUCCAUCAUCGCCGGGAGCUUUUGUGGGGCCCAUUGACUUCAAAGCUAUCCUUAUUUCAUCUGCAGUGUAUUCUGACGUGAGUUUUGCAUUCAUGUCAUCAUUAUACAUCUUUCCACUCCCUCUAAAAUCAGUUUUGGAUUGCUAACUCCUCUUGACCUAAACAAUUCCUGAAAUUAAUUCUUUGCAAUCAUUGCCAUCCCUUUAUCAUCACACACCUGUUCUCCAAA